GCCUGAUCUUUUGAUCAGGGAGGAAUUCAAAAGAAUGCCCCCUUGUGAUGGCUGCGCUGUCAAGUACAUGGAGCUUCCCUCGAGGAUUUUCUGAGCCUUGUGGAUGUACCGUGAGCCUCGCUGCCUGGGGAGUAAGGCGGCGGAAGCAGUCUCUGGGGGGACCCAUGCCCGCAGCAUUUCUGGAUGCUAAAGGUGGCUUUAAGGAAGGCCCAGCUGAGUGCCUCGUGGAUUCCUGCAGCCUGGAUGCCUGCGGGGGACAGAAGACCGAUGCUUCCUGCCCUCAUCACCCAGGAAUGUCGGGAGGGGGCUCCGCCAAUUCCCUGAAGGGCUCCCAGUGAAACGCACACACCACACGCCGGUCCCGAGGGCAGCCUGCAUCCUCACGGCCCCCUGGGAAGAUGGGUAGCGCUCAUCCAUCGCAUGCCUGAAAGGACCCCCUUCCUCAGUGCACUCGACUUCCUGUGAUGGCUGUGGUGUAAUCUGAAAAAAAGCAGAUCCGUUCAGAACUCCAGAAGGACUUGAAAACUGUCCUGCCCCGAACGAAAGCUGGAAUAUCGUGGGCUUUGAUGAACCAAGGAAAAGUGCCUUCAUCAGGACGCAGCAGUAAGCCUGCUGACUACUUAAGCCCUGCCUAGGUUCCUAGGAAAUGGGCAGGAAAAGUGCCUGCCACCUGCUGCUUGCUGGUGUGCUGUUUUGGCAGCAGGAGCUGUGGGAACACACAGGGGCAGGAGAACAAACACAUUACACACGAGGACUUCCAUCCUCCAGCCAGCAAGGUGCCGACACCUCACACUUGCACUUACUGUGCGGCAGGCACCGUUCUCUGCGCCUGGGAUAAAAGGAUGAGGGACAGGUGGUGCUGCAGGAGAAAUGCAGGGCACCAGGUGGUUGGCUUGGUAACAGCUCCCCAAAGAUAGCCACAUCCUCACUCCCGGAACCUGUGACUGGCACCUUUCGUGGCAAAAGGGACUUUGCAGACAUGGUAAGUUAAGGAUCUGAGCUGCACCAAACUGGACUAAAUGGAGGAGGGUUAAGUAAACUAUAAUUCUCCACCUGGUGCAAUAUUAGGAGAUCCUUGAAACGAUCAUUUUCGAAAUUCCCGUUCCAAACGGUCUUAGAACUCUGUAUCUUCCUCUUGUACGACUUACCAUGAUUUUUAAUAAUUUAGCUGCCCGGUUACUGAAUUAAUGUCUGUUUCCCCUACUCCUUUGAUGGGGACAGUGCCCUUUUUGCUCACCGUUUCCUCUCAGCUGCCCAGCAUGGUGUCUGGCUUAUAGCAGGUGCAAAAUAAAAUUGGUUGAAUACAUGCCAAAUAAGGAUUUUUUAGAUCCUUGAAACAACAGGCUGAGUGAACCAAGCAAAGCACAUCUGAGCACGAUGUGAAAAUGGAAAUGCAUGUGCAUAUAGAUGACUUCUAGAAGGCAGCUCUGGGAAUGUCACGUGUUUAUGCCAGUAUGGUGGGACGCAGGGCUGAGACUUGUUCUUCCUGCUUUAUUUCCUCCAUGCUGUGCUUAUGCCCAGGGGGCCCUCCCUGUCCAUCCCAGAGGCUGCGCCUCUUGCAUCCCACUUGCUUCGGGUCUAGGAGAAGAGGAACAUCCACUUGGGGUGGGAAGACUUGGUUUGGAAGCUGUCACUCUCCUUCCUUCACCUGCUGCAGGACACUGAACAGUCUUCGAACCCCUCAUAGCUUAGUUGCUUCAAGUUGAAAAUGUGAUAACGGUACCUGCGCCCCUGCGUCUCUCUAACGAAAUGCUGUAACAAAUGCCUUGUGGAUGGGCGACCCCGCUGUAAAGUGUUCCAGGGCUGGCUGCUCCCCAUCCUUCUCUGCCGUGACACCUGAGCCCCUGGUACUCUGCGGAGCCCUGCAGCUGCCCGCAUGCCCCGUGGACUGAAGGCGAAUGUGUGGCUCCACGGAGGUGCUCGGUGCACUUAGGGUUCCUACGUAGCCAUCUGAGAAUCCCUCUUGAAGGUAAACAGGGAGAUGACAGCUAAUUAACUCAGAGUGCUUCCACGGUGCUCAGCCCUACUGCUCAUUGACUGGUCCAUCAGUCAUCCAGCAGUCUUUACUGAGUGCCUACUGCAUACGGAUUGUGUCUUCAAUUAGCCCUCAGUGGCUGCUGACGCCACCCAGACUCUGAACUUGGAGGCAGCACGAGAGUCUCUGGACAUCUUGUGCUCAGGCUGCUGAGGGAGAGUCAGGGCGGUUCACCAAGGGGCUGAGGGGAGCCUUCCGACCUUGGAAGGGGACUUUUUCAUCCAGGGAUCCAGGCCGACUCUCCCCCUCCUUUUCUUCCAAAGGGUCCUUGGCAAGGUGUUAGAGGCUGGGUGCAUUUCCCAGGGCUGACAUACACGACAGAAAUGUGUUCUCCCACAAUUCCAGAGGCCAGAAGUCCAAAAUCAAGGUGUUGGCAGGGUCAUGCUUUCUCUAAAGCCUGUAGGGUAAGGGCCCUUCCUUGCCCCUUCCUAGUUUCCAGUGUCACCAGCCGUCCUUCGGGCCCUUGGCUCCCUCCAGUCUCGGCCUCCGUCCUCACUUGGGCUUCUUCUCUCUGUGAGUCUUUGCGUCCCUCUCUCCCUGGAAGGACCCCGGUCAUUGGAUGUAGUGCCCACCCUAAUCCAGGAUGGCCUCGUCGUCCCUUGAUUGCAUCUGCAAAGACCCCGAUCUCAAAGUAAGAUCACCCCAAGUACACAAAUACUUAGAUGGGGUCAGGAUUUCAGUGUAUCUCUUUGGAGGGAUACAGUUCAACCUGUAGCAGAGCCCAAAGCAAAGCCAGCUCCUCCACGUCGCCCCGCCCCAGCGCAGUUGGCUCAGGGACCACUGCUUGGCUGCAUAGACGGAGGGCUUACUUGCUGAGAGGGACUGGGCAGCGCCCUUCCCAUUCGUUGUCCCGUUCUAUUCGAGGCAGUCUUGCGGUGCCUUAUGCAAAAAAUACUCAUCAGACCUGGCCCUGGAGGUCUGCGUGCCUGGCCCUGGAGGCGUGAAAGAUCCCUGAAGCCCUUGCCCACAGGGAUCUUAACGUCUUUAAUGCAGUGAAGAGGCAGGGAUGUGGGAAUAAGCAGUUCCAGUCGUUGCCACUUCUGAUGAAAAAGCAGAGCUCUGCGGGAGAGAACCUUCAGCUCAAGGUCUCGGCCCAGACAGUGACAUCACAGAGCCGCCCCCACCCCACCCCACGGCCCAUGGGUGGGGAGGCAAGGAGGCUCCGAGAAGACCUUGCAGUCGGGGGAGGAGCAGCGGGGGUAGGGGGGCGGGAGUGCGGGGAGAAGCUGGGCUGCAGGAUGGGGAAUGAAGCCCCCUUGACUGGCCGCCCCCUGGGCACCAUGUGUGGGCCCCUGGGAGGGAGGCUUUCUUCCUUGUGCCUGUGGUCAGAUCCCGCAUCUCCUUUCUGUCUUUGUUCUCUGGAUUCUUCCUGCCUUGGGUGUGUGAAAAGGGAGCCUCUUGGCAGCGUGCUCUGCUCUUAGAGGGUGCCACGCACCUGCACCCCUCUUCCCUCCCUCCGGCCCCUCCGCCCGCCCUCCUCCUCCCUCCUCUCCUUACCUGGCCGCCACCUGACCCUCCUCCUCGUACAACUCGGUUCAGAGAAUAAUCCACAGCAGCUGCCUUAGAGAAUCUUUCAAAGACACGCACCGGCCUGUGCCCUCCUUUCUUUCAGUGAAUACCCUUCAGCCACCCCCCACACGUGGUCCUCAGGUUCGUGCACUCAUGUCUUCAUGGUCAUUACUUGGUUUCUAAGGCUCUGGUGGGCACUGGCUGGGCUUCAGGAAAGGCCCCAUCUGGGCACUGAGAGAUGGGCAGGCAUUCCCUACCCCCGCCCUGGGGAGAAAUGUGGUCCAGCCACAAAGAGCAGGAGAGACUCAGAGGAGACAUGGUGUAGAGCAGGUCCUGGCUCUUGCUGUUGAGAUGAGACCAUUCGAGGCCUCAAAGCAGAUCUGACUUGUGCUUUAACUCAGUCAUUCUAGCUGCUGCUGCACUGGAAAUGGGCUGAAAGUGGCAAAGGUGGAAGCAGACGGACCAGUUAAGAGACUGCUGCAGUGAGCCAGGGAAGGGACGAUGGUGGCCUGGCCUCGAGGUCGCAGAGGGGGUUAUGAGAAGUGAUGGGAAGUGACUAUGUCAGGAAGGUAGACUUUGCUGGUGGGUUGGGUACGGGGCAUCAAGUAAAGGGUGAUCCCAGAAGUUUACUUUGAGCAAGUAAAGAAUGAAGUUUCCAUUUAUUCAUAUAAGGGACCCGUGAGGGGAGCAGGGAGUUCGGUGGGCAGGGGCGGAAUUGAGAUGGUUGAGAUGUUAGACAUCGUUAGACAUACAGGUAGAGAUACUCGGAGAGCAGCUGGAUGUGUGAAUCUGGAGUGUGAAGGUGAAUAUCCUAUGUCAGUUCGGCUAGAUAUCCAGACAUUUGGUCAAACACCAGUUUAAGUAUCACUGUGAAGGCAUUUUUUGGAUGAGAUUAACAUUUACAGGAGUUGCUAUCGUGGUGCAGUGGUUAACCAAUCUGACUGGGAACCAUGAGGUUGCAGGUUUGAUCCCUGCCCUUGCUCAGUGGGUUAACGAUCCGGCAUUGCUGUGGCUGUGGUGU
rnacentral:lncRNA from 1 species